UACAGGGGGUGCAAACGUUGCUCGGAAUUAUUGGGCGUAAAGCGCGCGUAGGCGGCUACUUAUGUCGGAUGUGAAAGCCCUUGGCUCAACUGAGGAAGUGCACCCGAAACUGAGUAGCUGGAGUACGAAAGAGGGUCGCGGAAUUCUCGGUGUAGCGGUGAAAUGCGCAGAUAUCGGGAGGAACACCAAUGGCGAAGGCAGCUUGCUGGGACGGUACUGACGCUGAGGCGCGAAAGCGUGGGGAGCAAACAGG
rnacentral:rRNA from 1 species